GGAAAGUCCACCAUGAUAAACAACUGUCAGUCAGCAUGCUUUUACUGUCUGCUAUGUCCUUGAUGUGAUCCAUAGAAAGAGGUCUUCUCACCUCUGGGAAAGGGACAUUAAAACAUCUUGGCCCUCCUAGAGACUGUUUUGCUUCCCCUAUGACUUGCUGUCCUCCACUGCUGGCCGCUGACCUGGCUGCCUGACAAAUGGUCCUAAAGACCACUGGAGCCUAGUGAUGCUCUCAUGACAUACCUUGACCCAGUGCUAUGUGAGAUUCCAUGCUAAAGAAAAGAAUGGGGAAAAAAAAGAAAAGGACAGGAAAACCCAUAGAUCAGAGGACACCAAAGGAAAGAUCAUUCUUCCAGAAACAAUUGGCAGGAGUCUGGUAACUGACCUUCACCACGACACCCAUCUGAGAUCAGCAAAACUUUCUGAGUUGCUCAGACCAAGUUCAAUGAUACUGUCUGGGCCAAGUGAACAGCCAAAGGGGUGCUGGAACUAAUCAGAAGAGGACCCUACAAGGUGAUUCUCCCCACUCCUAUGGUGAUGAAGGUAGCUGGCAUUACAUCAUGGAUCUACCACACCCAGAUAAGUGAGGUCUUCACUCCUCAUCAAGAAAACUGCUCUUUGCAACAGAUGGAGACCCUUACAGAAAACCACAACCAAUCAAAAUGCAGAGCUGUAGAGCCCAGUCCCAGUGGAUAUAUCUACAACACAGUUCCCCCUUACUAAGGCUCAGGGAACAUUCUAGAAGGGGAAAAUAUUUAGAAAGAUUGUAAGAGUCAGAGGAUCAGGGAGUCUGCUCUGAAAUCGUGUGUCCUGGUAAUGUCAAAAGCUACACUCAUAAAGUCUUAUCAACAUAGUAGCUCAAAUGUCAACUGAACAAGGAAGAUACUAAAGAAAAUGCCACCGUGGUGGUGAAAAGCCCCUGAGGCCUCAAUCCUACAGAAAGAAGUCCAGGCAACUGAGAAAUGCUGGGAGUGGAAAAAAAUAUUUCUCAGGGAAGAGUAGCCAAUUGGUUAUCCAAUACCAAAUGGUCAGUCCUGAAAUAUGCAUGUGCCACAUUGUAUAGACUGUUAUGCAACAGACAAUAUACAACAUUGUAUAGACUGAGCAGGUUAUAUUUAGGAAUAUAACUGCACUUAAUAAAAAAAAAAGAAACCAUGAAUUUGAAAAACAGCAAGGAGGGAUAUAUGGGAGGGUCUGGAGGGAGGGAUGGAGAAACAAUGUAAUUAUAUUAUAAUAUUAAAAAUUAAAGAAAAAAAGGAACUUCUUAAAGCAAGGACUCAACUUCUCCAAGCACAAGGAUCUCCCUCCCACCACCCCUUAAAACCUCCUGAGAUGAACGUCCCUUUUUGAAAGCAGGGACAACUUUUCUGUAAGGUAGAUUCUUUCUACUUUGUCUGCUCAGUUGGGCUUGCAUGAAACCACCCUCCCCAUCAACCUCUGUCUUCCAGUUUGUUCUGCUACAGGUGGUUGGAAGAAGGACCUCCAGGCCCCAGUAGUGACUCUAGCUCAUUCCUCUCUGCAAUGUUUCUUUGGUCUUGGAGGUGGUGACAUAGAUUUCUGACUUUCUUCCACUUAUGACUGAGUGUUGGGCCACAUUAACAGUUACCAGUCAUAACCACUGUGACUGCAUGGGUGUAUGCAGCAACCAGCACCAUCUGCGGAAGUGAGCUUUCCCUCCAUGCUGCAGGCUCAUGGCACUAGCAAUCUAUGUGUGCCUUUCCUUUUUUCCUUUUAGCAAUCUGACUAUUGUUAUGAAUGUUUCCAAAAAAUUGGAGUUUUUCAGGAGUCUCAUGCUGGGAUAAGCAAGGGUGGUACCAUCCAGAGGAAGACUAUCAUCCAGAAAAAUAUUUCACACAGUUCUGACCAUUUAUCAGGCCACUUUGCACAAAAUACUGAAGCCCAGAUAGUGAUGGGUGGGACCUUAUCUUGACUGGGACUGCUUAGCUAUGUGCACCUCUCUGGCCUCUGUUUAAACUGAAACCUCCACUUAGGAUCCUGAAGAUGAAGUAGAGUUGAGAGGAUGUCACUGAGUCACCUUGUUCUUCAUGGGGGCCCCUGCUCUCCCUAGCCACAGGUCUUUGCCUUGGCUCACAGUAUCACAAGUUCCUUCCUGUGGUGUAGGAUUUAAAUCUAACCAGUAAGCUGUUGGUGGUGCUCAUAAUAGUCAGGCCACCAUUGCAACAGUGUACAGUUCUUAUCUGGAAGGUUGAGAGUGUGGCAUAAAGACUUUAGCCAAGUAGAACUACUGGUGACAAGUUUCUCCCAGUAGCCUGUGUAGGAUCUGUCAAAGUUACAUAUCAGACAGACUUCCUUUCCUAGGAUCUCUCUUUACCAUUUCUCUAAUGGCUAACGGCUGCUUCUUUUCCAGACCACUUGAAAUCCUCUCUGAGACUACUGUAACUCAUUAGUCAAUGCCACACUGUUAUGGCACCCUAUUCCAUAAUAUACUUUAGCAUAGUGCUAUUUUAAUUAAUUCAUUCGUGGAUACAUGUGCUCUGAUCGUAUUCACUCCUACUCUUCCCCUAACUCCUCCUUGAUGUACCCUCCCCUACCCAGCUUCAUGCCUUUUUUUUUUUGUUCACUGAGUCUAAUUUGUGCUUGUCUAACACUCAAGGAUGUGGGUUCAUGCACUGGAGCAUGGAAUAGUACUUUGUUUUUUAAAUCAUUACAUAAUGAUUUAUAGUUUUUGUUAAAUAUCCUGUCCCUCCAUUAGUUGGUAAAGUCUCAA
rnacentral:lncRNA from 1 species